GGGGUAGGCAAUCUUGGUGAUUCAUUAGGCAUAGGCUACUUGGGUUCUGACAGUGAACAAACAAUUUUGUUGGCUUUUAUAUUACUCAACUGUUGCCAUUUUGCUGCCUUUGAUUCCUAUGGUAAGCUGGCUUUUAAUUUGGAUAAUAUUUAUUCUAUUGGUUUGUGGGUGAUGAUGGUGUUGCAGAUGGCUUCUAAAUUUUCUAUUUCUUUGUUUUUAGGCAUUGGUGUUGCUGGUCGAAGUGGGUACUUGUCUGCUGAAUAAUUGUGUUGUUUGGCGUUUGUUAGGCACGUACUCAUUGAAAGGAACUGGGAGAGGAAGUCCUCCAGGCUAUUAAUAUCUCGCAUCCGGCUCUGGAAAAACAUCAGCAGCUCGCCGAGUAAUGGACUGGACAGUUGGAAACGCCAUACUAACAAAGAGGUUGGUGGCGGCGGAUGACGGUUGACUGGCUACAUCGGAUGGUGAUUGAGUGGCGGCAUUCUCUGCUCCCUCGGCGACGCUUGGAGCGAUCUGCGGAGACGCUGGCACCGGGUUGGACGCCCUCACUCCUUCAUCUCCACCAGCUGGCCUCUCAUCAGCAUUUAUCAAAUCGACUACAUUAUCGAUCCCAGUAGAAGACAAUUGGGCCAGGUUUUGUGGGUCGAAAUUGAUGGAGCAUACGCUGUCUCCCUCUCUCUCCCGUGGGGUCUCCACUGCAUUGUCCUGGUGUUGUUGAUCGGUCAGUGUCAUGGUCAUAGGGUUUUGGGGAUGGUCACUAAAGUAGGAAAUUUGUGAGUUAGCCGGUGACUGGUUCAUGGUGACAAUAUUAUGGAAUACUUCGAAUAAGUUGCCAAGUGUACUACCAAAUUACAGGAAUACUAAAACGGACAUACUGAAAGUGCCUAUGUUGGAUAAGAUUGUGUGGCGUUAAAAGUUUCAAGUGUCAUGUACAUGUAUUAUGCAAAGACCUCCUUAGUGAUACAGGUAUGAAU